GUGGUUCUUCUUUCAUAUCCAUAACACCUGUGCACUGUUGGAUGCUUGCAUCCACUUUUAAACUAAACAUUAUUGUAACAAAUGUAGUCUUAUUAUAACAUAAUAAAACUUUCAACAACGGAUCUCUUGGCUCUCGCAUCGAUGAAGAACGCAGCGAAAUGCGAUAAGUAAUGUGAAUUGCAGAAUUCAGUGAAUCAUCGAAUCUUUGAACGCACCUUGCGCUCCUUGGUAUUCCGAGGAGCAUGCCUGUUUGAGUGUCAUGAAACCCUCAAACCCAAGUUUUGGAUUUCGAUCCAUGCUUGAGUUUGGAUUUGGAUGUUUGCCGGUGAUGAACCGACUCAUCUUAAAAGUAUUAGCUUGGAUCUGUCUAUAUGACUGGUUUGACUUGGCAUAAUAAGUAUUUUGCUGAGGACAUCUUCGGAUGGCCAGGACCUA
rnacentral:sRNA from 1 species